UCUGCGGCGGGGCGGCCAGAUGGCUGUGGCGUGGCCGGGAUGCCUGGGCGUUCCCGACGCGGGCGCGGUGGCGCACCGUGCCGAGCGCCAGCGGGGCCUCCCAGGCGCGGCCGUCUCGGGGCCAGGUAUGGGACCCCUGUCUCCUCUCUAGGCGAAAGGACACAGAGGGCCGCUGCUGUGCGCCCGCGUAGGCGCCGCCAAGCUCCGAAGGGAGUUUGCCCGCCCGAAGCUGAGCGCCCGCAAGGAGAUGCAGGACCUUGGAUCCAGAGAGGCCAAGAAGAACGUGGCCUGGCUUGGCCUGUGGAGUGCCAUCAUCUCCCCUUGCCUGGGGACUUGCUGGGACAAGUUACUUCUGCUCACAGAGCGAGGUUCAAGUGUUAACACCAAGGACAUAAGGACUUAUGGCUGAAGUUUCAGAAUUUCACCUGGAACAAUAACUGAAGUUUUAAGCCAAAAGUGUUAAAGUGCAUUAAAAGAUUUGCUUCAUGUGCUUU
rnacentral:lncRNA from 1 species